UGGAGCCAUUGAAUUUGUUUGACCAGACGACCAUUAAUUGAUCUCUAAUUUCCCAUGUAACUGUCCGAAUGGCCAUCCUCCCCAGUUUCCAAACGAUCCCCAUUCUCUUCGGCUAUCUUCAGAACCUAGCGUCGCCUUAACAUUCUCCGGUGGUGACACCAUCUCCAAUCUGCCUCAAAGUUACACCACAUAACCCCUAGCCCUUCAUCUGUCCAUAACCCAAAAUCUUUUCCCUCGUAUCCUUAUACAUCCUUUCAAACUUGAAUCUAAUGUUCGAAGCACUAAAAACCCAAAACGCCUUACCUUCGAAUCUUUGGCAUGCAAAGCCUAACCUCCAAGUCUUAUGAGUUUUCAAGGGUGAUUUAACAUAAAAUAAUAAUUGGUUGUUUGUUCUUGACAAAGAACAAACGAUUAACAUUGAUUUUAUUUAAAUCAGGCGCCCAGUGUUGGUCUCAAGUUUAAGUCAGUAAGUUCUCUUUCAUUUUUUCUGUCAGUUUUGUUGUUUCACCAUCUAUUCCCAUUCUUUUUUUCACUUUUUCUUUAGAUCGUUUCUUCUGUUUGAACUUUAGCAAAGGUCCAAAUUCUGAACCAAGAUUUUUCCCUUUGGAUUGAUUCGUGUUCGUAUUUGUUUUGUCUGCUUUUCAGUUUUCUUUUCAAAAUUUAAUAGUUGUUCUCUGAUUUUUGUUUAGAUUAUUCAUUUGCCAUACCUAUUUGUUAUUCAUGACAUUUAAGUUUUUGAUUUUUGUCCUUCAUAUUCUAGUCGUAUAAUUAGCUUAAUUAGAUGUUGUUUUGAUUUGGUCAUCUAGCUUAAUUCUAGUUUAUUUUAAAAAUCACUCAAGCUUUUAGUUUUGAAAGCAUUCAAGUUGUUUCUUCUUCUAUUUUUCAUGAAGAACUAAAAUUAGUUUCUGACUUGGUUAGGGCUUUGGGGCCAUUUCUGACCCAUUUUUAAGGAAAGACCAUUCAUUUUGGUUUAAGUCUUGGGUCAGAAUUGAUCCAAAUGGUUUGCUGAGGUGAUUGGGAGGGGUUUUAAGGGUAGUCUAGGUAUUUUGAUUAAGGGAAUCUCUUGUAACUGAUUGAGAAAAUUUCCUGGAAGGUGAAAAAGGGAUUGACUAAGCAAACAAGUUAAAAUUUAGGCAUUAACUAGCAAAAAUAAAAAUUAAAAAAGGAGUAAUCGGAAAAAACUGAAGUUCAUUUCUGUUUCCCUACAGCUUCUCUAUAAAAGACUAUUUCUUCACUCUCAAGUCAGAGUUUAGAGACUAAAAAACACUUAAAAUUUAGAAAACGGUUGAGUUUUCAUAUACUGAAAUCCUCAGCAACUUCUGAUGAAAAAUUGGUUCAGCUUCCUGUUCGUUCUAGUUUUUGAAAUUUGCAAAGAACUUCUGGGUCAUUUUUCGAGUCUAAAAUUGGUUUUCAAGCUUGGUUGUUUGCUGAAUUGAAUAUGUUGUUGCUGUCUCUUCUUAAACUCCCAACUUAUUUUCCCUUUUGGUGUUGUAACCAGGUGUUCACUCAGUUCCUUGACAUGUGAAAUGGAAGAACAUGAAGCUAUUUGAUUAAGCUGAAAAUCUAUGACACAUCAGUUUAUUAAAUGCUAUUUUCUGCACUCCGGAAACUAGUUGAUUCUACUGUUAGUUUAGUUUCCUGUUAUGUAUACACUUGAUUAUUUUUGUUGCUAAUUCUCCUUGAGUUUUGAAAGCUUUAGGUAGAUACUCUAAUUUAGUUGAUUGGUUUAUAAAAGGAUUGGAAUGUUGUUCAUACAUGGGGACGGUUGGUUUUUCUUUUAUUUAAGUGUGAAUAAGUCGACAUAAGAUUUAGAAAACUCGCUCGAUUUGCUGAUUGAUACAUGGGAUUUGAUUGAGAAUUUCCAGUUGAAUCCAUAUUAACAAGCAUAUGUAUAUGUUUUGAAAUCCUGUCAAGUAUUCUGAUGAAAAAUUAAAGUGAAAGCUGGUUAUAUUUUGAUAGUAAGACUAAUUUUGUGAAUGGUUAUAAUGUUUAAAUACAAAAUGGUUCACAUGAUAGUCUCAUAAUGUUGAUUUCUUAUUAUAUGUGUU
rnacentral:lncRNA from 1 species